GCUUGCUUUCAGCUCCCGAAUUUUUAUUGUCUGUACUUUUCCUGUAGUGAAGUAGUUUCAUAGCUCAGCAAAGCCUCAGAAUUUUUUAUGAACAGUCUCUAAAAGGCAGCUAGAUCUAGCUCUAAGACAUCAAGCAAAUGACCCAGGACUUGUUAUUUUUCUUGUUGGUUUCUGCGUAGCUAAGGCAAAGGCUUUUUCUUGGCCUCCACUCAGCAAUAUGCAAAAAGCUGAAGCUUUUAAAGUGGGAGAAGAAACAGAAGGAACAGAGGAGGUAAUUGAGAAUUAGUCACAUUUGUUAUUUUUAGCACUGCCUGAUUUUGUCUGGAAAUGGAAGUGAAACUAUAAAAACAGAACAAAACCCGCACAAAGAAGACUCUCAGGAAAUGCUGGCUGAAUGACAGAAUGAACAUUGAUAAAUGAAGACUUCUUCAAAUAACUGAUGCUAGACAUCUCUAAAUGUAAAACAAUAUUAAUUAAAAUAUUAUCUUAAUUUCAUUUAAUUGAAAAUAUCAGAAAUAACAUGUGACCAUGACAUCAUUCAUCAUUUUUCCAUCAAAACAUUUGAAAAUAACUUGGAUUCAUUUAUUAGAGCUUUAUUUUCCCACAUCUUGCAGUACCCUAGAGUUCUACAGUAAUUAACCUUAUGCUGAAUGGCAGAGGACAUGCACUAAGCUCCUAUUUAAAAUCUAUUCAUGAUGCAUUUUAAAUAUUCAGUAGAGACUUCUUAAACAUGCAGCCAUAGUCUAUUGAAAAUGGAUUUCCUAAAGCCAGGAGAUUGGAUAUUAAUAUCUGGCAUUCGUAUAAAGACAGGUUUUUGUUAACCUAUUAUAAAAAGGACUGAUGAUGUGAUUAUAUACUGUUUACUAGCUCACUUAUAUUUCUGUGCUAAUAAUUACUGUAACCCAUUUGUUUAGUUUUUUUAUUUUAUUUUCAUUAAGCAUUGUUUUUAAAAUUUUUUUAUCUUAGCUUAUGUUUGAUUUAUGUUUUUGAUUGAAUAAAGGUUGUUUGUUAAUAUAGAAU
rnacentral:lncRNA from 1 species